ensembl:lncRNA
AGCCCUAGUAUGGUACCUGGCCUGCAGCAAGGGCUCAAUGAGCAACAGUCACCCUGGUUACCAUUUGCUGAAUCAGGGCAGGGUCAGAGUGCAGGGGAAGGGUCCAAGGUUCACCAACCGUUAGUGGCCAAACCGGUCGGUGUGACCAGACCAAGCGCAACCUUCAAAAACGCUCUUCUUGCCGUCUUCAGCAAGACAAACAGGGAAAGGCUCCUGUGACUGCCAAAACUUUGCCUGUCAUAAAAACAUCCUCCAUGUCACAGUGACAACCACGAGAACAGAACGGGAGGCAGCAAGGUCUAGAGGAUGAGAUGCAGAACCGGGAAUCAGACCUGUUUCCCAACAAGACCGAGAACUACUUUUAAUUGAGAUGUACAAAGGAGGUGCAGGAGGACAAUAAUUUGUGACUCAAAAAUAACACGCAAGUCAAGAGUUGUGAAUGGAAUUUAGGCAGUGCCUUCAAAUCCUGCAGCCUUCAAUCACUUUAUAAGGAUAGCACAGGCCACCACUGGCUUGGAUAUUGUCACAUUACUCAUCUCUCAUCUGCCUAAUCCACUUUACCACCUACAGUCCAAACAACCAGGAGAGAGAAGUCCGUGUGGACUUUCCCUCAUCAAAAGUGAACCAGGAAACAGUUUCAAAGCAGCAAACUUCAGGAGAAAAAGCUUCCAUCAAAUGAGCUCCAGCCUGACCACCUCUCUCCAGCACCGUGAACAGCAUGGAAGCCCAGAUCAAAGAACAUCUUAUAUGUGGCCUUUCCUUGUCCCACUAAAUGUCACUGAGGCAGAGCUAGUGGCACCCUAUACCCAGGCUUUCCUUACCAGAUCCUUGCAUCUCAGAAGCUCAGAUGCAAACGAGAUUCAGAAAACCAAAUGAACUGAGAAGAGGAAUAAAGGAGAAAGACUGGAUUAGACCAUGGCCAACAUCUUUGGGCAAAUGCACACAUCCUCCUGUUGCCAUUUUAGCAAGACCAUGGACCUCUCAGAACACUAAUUCCUCUCUGGAUCACUGCUUCCCAGAGCAAUAACAUAAAUCCAUCUAACAUUUAAGCAAAAGGAUAUUGAGCUUGGCAGAUCAGCACAGUGUAUGUUUGCCUCCUGGAGUGAUAAGGUCACCCAUUCAAGACCCCCUAGGAAAGGAGGGUGGAAGUGCAGAGAGCCACACAUGAAGCAGCCAGACCUAGUACAGAGGGUGCAGAUACCCUUUGAAGCAACAAAGAAUAACUGAGGAGAAGCAAGCCAGAGCCUUCGAGGAAACACAGGCUUGACGUGUCCAGCUGUCAUUAAGAAAUGCAAAAAGUUAACAGGUCACAACGCAUCCUGGUAUUGUAGGGACAUAAGUAGGGGCAUUCUUAGGUCUGGAACCCCCAAAGAAGCAGGUUUGCAGCCCUAAAACAUUGAUGUUCAACUGCUCAAAUCUGACCAGGUGAUUCUUGCAUGUUAGUUCACAGCCUUCUGAAUCUAACUGCACCCAACUUUUCACACAAAACACCCAUGUUUCCAUCAUUACAUAUAUCCUGGAAGCUGAUCAAAACCUCUCAAAGAAUACAUGAGGAAACAGACAUCUACUCACCUUGUUGACAGGAGCACAAAUUGGUCCCAUCUUUUUGGAGGGCAACUGAGCAAUAUUUAGCAAAAUGAACAUAAUAUUUCAUUUGGAAAUUUCACUUUUAGGGAUUUAUCCAAAAGACACACUCAUACAUGGGCAAAUUUAUGCUCACAAGUUUAUUUAUUGCAGUGUUUUUUGUAAUAGCCAAAGACCAAGAACAUUUGAAAUGUACAUCAAAAAGGAAUCUGGUUAAAAACGCCAGUGGAAUAUGAAAUAGCCAUUAAAAAGAAUGAGGCAAGUCUACAGGUGCUGUGAUGAGACAGAUGAUCUCCAAAAUGGAACGUUAAAUAAUAAAAAGAUCAAAGUCCAAGACAGUAUCAUAGCAUGCUUUACUUAUGUAAAAACAACCAAAAAUGGGAUAUAUGCAUGUUCAUAUAUACAUAUAUGUACAAAC